rnacentral:rRNA from 1 species
AUUGAACGCUGGCGGCAGGCCUAACACAUGCAAGUCGAACGGUAGCACAGAGGAGCUUGCUCCUUGGGUGACGAGUGGCGGACGGGUGAGUAAUGUCUGGGAAACUGCCCGAUGGAGGGGGAUAACUACUGGAAACGGUAGCUAAUACCGCAUAACGUCGCAAGACCAAAGAGGGGGACCUUCGGGCCUCUUGCCAUCGGAUGUGCCCAGAUGGGAUUAGCUAGUAGGUGGGGUAACGGCUCACCUAGGCGACGAUCCCUAGCUGGUCUGAGAGGAUGACCAGCCACACUGGAACUGAGACACGGUCCAGACUCCUACGGGAGGCAGCAGUGGGGAAUAUUGCACAAUGGGCGCAAGCCUGAUGCAGCCAUGCCGCGUGUAUGAAGAAGGCCUUCGGGUUGUAAGGUACUUUCAGCGAGGAGGAAGGCGUUGUGGUUAAUAACCGCAACGAUUGACGUUACUCGCAGAAGAAGCACCGGCUAACUCCGUGCCAGCAGCCGCGGUAA